UGGGGAAUAUUGCACAAUGGGCGAAAGCCUGAUGCAGCGACGCCGCGUGAGGGAUGACGGCCUUCGGGUUGUAAACCUCUUUCAGCAGGGAAGAAGCGAAAGUGACGGUACCUGCAGAAGAAGCGCCGGCUAACUACGUGCCAGCAGCCGCGGUAAUACGUAGGGCGCAAGCGUUGUCCGGAAUUAUUGGGCGUAAAGAGCUCGUAGGCGGUUAGUCGCGUCUGCUGUGAAAACUCGAGGCUCAACCUCGGGCUUGCAGUGGGUACGGGCUGACUAGAGUGCGGUAGGGGUAACUGGAAUUCCUGGUGUAGCGGUGGAAUGCGCAGAUAUCAGGAGGAACACCGAUGGCGAAGGCAGGUCACUGGGCCGCAACUGACGCUGAGGAGCGAAAGCAUGGGGAGCGAACAGGAUUAGAUACCCUGGUAGUCCAUGCCGUAAACGUUGGGCACUAGGUGUGGGGUCCAUUUCCACGGAUUCCGUGCCGCAGCAAACGCAUUAAGUGCCCCGCCUGGGGAGUACGGCCGCAAGGCUAAAACUCAAAGGAAUUGACGGGGUC
rnacentral:rRNA from 1 species